UGUAUACCUUGCUGGUGUAGGCCUGGCUGGCUGCGGAAGGCUGUGUGUAGUACUGGGUGACUGCCUGCAUGUAGGAGCCAUAUUCUCCAUAGGAUGACACAGCAGGAGACUGGAACACACCAGGAAACACACAUUCAUGGCUUGCCCUCUAUUUGUCAAGAGUUCAUCAUCAACGUGGAUGAUGAAGGAAGAAACAAAGAAAGAAACACAGACUGACUGUAAAAAAGGAAAAGAAACGAUGAACAGAUGGUGAACGACGAAAGAAUGAAAGAAUAAAAGAAAGAAAGAACGAAAGAAUGAAAGACAGAAAGAAACAAUACCUGAGUGAAUGAAAGGAGGAAAUAAUGAAAGAAAGGAAAACAUGAAGCCGUUCUCUCCAGUGACGGCAUGGGAGCCUUAUGCAAUUUUCUGAGUGUUAUAAGAUAAGAUAGGAUAAGAUAGCCUUUAUUGUCAUUGUACAGUCACCUAUACAACGAAAUUGGGAGUGCCAACUGAAGGUGCAUGUUACCAGGAUGAGCCUUGCGGCGGUGGAAGGAUUGGAGGCAGUAUGAACGAUGUUAGUAAGGCCGUUGGCCUGAAUUUAUUCCGGUACCAAAAAUGUCCAUCAGGAGGCAAAAAAAAUGAAUCAUGAAUAAACACAAAAAAAAACAAUCAAUAAUUCUAAAUAACUUUCACUAAUCGAAA